rnacentral:lncRNA from 1 species
GUUGGGCUUGGCAGAGGCAUUAGCUAACAAGAAAGGGACAUGUGACGGGUUAGCGGGUAGUGUGAUGUCUGCCGCAGACACAACAGAACUGAAGGAGGAAAAUUAAAGCUGGGUGAAGCAGAGAAAGAAGAUGACAACCAAUGUGUCAUCAUCUCAGACACAAAAAGAAUGCUCUGGCUGGGAAGACAUAAAGCAGACCAAGAAAACAUUCAUGAACGAGGACCGCCUUGAGUUAAGAUGGAGGAACCAGCCUUCCAUAAUAACCACAGAACAAAGGAAAUAAUGGCAGACACAACAUGAUAGACGUGACGUGAACGACAGCCCUCAGAGUGUGCGGCCGGAAGUGAGUGAAAUCCUUCAGAUACACUGAUCAGUGAAGAGGAGACUCUCGGCCAGUCUAUUCUGAACAUGACCCUCUCAUCACUGAGGUAGAAUCGCAGAAAUGAAGACAGAUAGAAAGGACACAAGGAAAAUUGUACUUUUAAGAAAAACUACAGCUUUGCGGCACAAGCCCAGUUCAUUUUUAUUUUCUUUUCCUCUCUUCUCCCAAGACACAAUAAGCCUGAGCAAUUCCCUUCUACCUAUGAGUUGACCACCUCAUUUCAUCCAUAGUUUAUGCUUCUCCUCAAGGAAAGGACAACAAGAGGGGGCAGCAGAUCUCCUUUCAAACACGUGUAAAUGGUUUGCAUUCUGACCUGUCCUGCCAGAGCAGGACCUGACAGACAGUAGGGACACACAUCCCAGAUCACCCGUCUUGAAGACAUCCCCAAGCCCCAUAACGACAGCAGCUCUGGAUCAUGAUGUGCCCCUCUCUCUCUUUAAAGCCCUCACUCUGUUUCUUCAAGUGUGCACUUUUAAAUCUUUGGUCUAAUAAAUACCUCUAUGCCUCUUACUAAAGGAUUCUGAAAACCCUUUUUCCAUGACUGGACUCAGCCCACCUGCAUUUUUCUCUACAGCUAGGGUGGGGUUUAGAAAGCUCCUAGGACCCUGUCAGUGACACCACCACUGCUUGUCGACUAAAGCCUUUGAUUUUUUUGCAUAUCUAUG